UACGUAGGUGGCAAGCGUUGUCCGGAUUUAUUGGGUUUAAAGGGUGCGUAGGCGGCCCUGUAAGUCAGUGGUGAAAUACUCUAGCUUAACUAGAGGGGUGCCAAUGAUACUGCAGGGCUUGAGUACAGGUGAGGUAGGCGGAAUUGACGGUGUAGCGGUGAAAUGCAUAGAUAUCGUCAAGAACACCGAUAGCGAAGGCAGCUUACUGGGCUGUAACUGACGCUGAUGCACGAAAGUGUGGGGAUCAAACAGG
rnacentral:rRNA from 1 species